ensembl:lncRNA
CCAAAUUUGUAAGAGACAGACUAUUCUGAGGCUACGCUGAGAUUUGGAAGGGGGCAAUGCACUGUGAGUAGACGAGUGACCAGAAGUGAAUAGGCCUGAAGGGCAGUGCGUGGAGCCAGGGCAGCUUUGCUCAUGCCUCUGGAAAAAUUAUUUCCAAACCAGCCUGAGCUUGUUUGCUGAUUGCUGAGUUUUGUGUGUGUGCACGUGUGGAACAGCCCCAAGGAAAAUGUUUGUUUGCUCUACUGUUGCAGAAAAAUACCUCCCUUUCAUCUGCUUUGGGGAGCUCUGGCAGGUCCUGCAGAGUCCUUUGCACUGUCACUGCUUAGGCUUGUUUCGGGGUACCUGGAAGCUGCAAGUAUCAAAGGAGUGAAGAGAUCUCGUGGCCUUCCCAAAUAUACCUGCAAUUUCUUGAGCCUUUCUCAAGCAGCAGAUCUGCUCACCAGCCUUCUCCAACACAGACACGAGCAGAAAGAAGUACUUGCUGAACAGUCUCUUGACUCUGCGUGGCACAGGCAGUUACUGCUGUC